GACGAAGGAUGCAAGCGUUAUCCGGAUUCAUUGGGUUUAAAGGGAGCGUAGGCGGCCUUGUAAGUCAGUGGUGAAAUCUCUGGGCUUAACCCAGAAAUUGCCAUUGAUACUGCAGGGCUUGAGUACAGUUGCCGUUGGCGGAAUAUGACAUGUAGUGGUGAAAUACAUAGAGAUGUCAUAGAACACCGAUUGCGAAGGCAGCUAACGAAACUGUAACUGACGCUGAGGCUCGAAAGUGUGGGGAUCGAACAGG
rnacentral:rRNA from 1 species